AAAGAUCGAUACCGAGGGGGGGGGGGGGCUGAUGCCCCGGAGAAUUUCUGCUCACGCAGGCAGCCUGUACCGCGUACAGUCUGAAACUCCCUAUACCUCAACAAACUGCCACUCCGGCGUAAAGGUAUCGUUCU
rnacentral:ncRNA from 2 species